rnacentral:rRNA from 1 species
CCUACGGGCGGCAGCAGUGAGGAAUAUUGGUCAAUGGACGAGAGUCUGAACCAGCCAAGUAGCGUGAAGGAUGACUGCCCUAUGGGUUGUAAACUUCUUUUAUAUGGGAAUAAAACGUUCCACGUGUGGGAUUUUGUAUGUACCAUAUGAAUAAGGAUCGGCUAACUCCGUGCCAGCAGCCGCGGUAAUACGGAGGAUCCGAGCGUUAUCCGGAUUUAUUGGGUUUAAAGGGAGCGUAGGUGGAUUGUUAAGUCAGUUGUGAAAGUUUGCGGCUCAACCGUAAAAUUGCAAUUGAAACUGGCAGUCUUGAGUACAGUAGAGGUGGGCGGAAUUCGUGGUGUAGCGGUGAAAUGCUUAGAUAUCACGAAGAACUCCGAUUGCGAAGGCAGUUCACUGGACUGCAACUGACACUGAGGCUCGAAAGUGUGGGUAUCAAACAGGAUUAGAUACCCGAGUAGUC